rnacentral:rRNA from 1 species
GACGAACGCUGGCGGCGUGCUUAACACAUGCAAGUCGAACGGUAAGGCUCCAGCUUGCUGGGGUACACGAGUGGCGAACGGGUGAGUAACACGUGGGUGACCUGCCCUGCACUUCGGGAUAAGCCUGGGAAACUGGGUCUAAUACCGGAUAGGACCGCACCGUGAGGGUGUGGUGGAAAGUUUUUUCGGUGUGGGAUGGGCCCGCGGCCUAUCAGCUUGUUGGUGGGGUAAUGGCCUACCAAGGCGGCGACGGGUAGCCGGCCUGAGAGGGUGGACGGCCACAUUGGGACUGAGACACGGCCCAGACUCCUACGGGAGGCAGCAGUGGGGAAUAUUGCACAAUGGGCGGAAGCCUGAUGCAGCGACGCCGCGUGGGGGAUGACGGCCUUCGGGUUGUAAACUCCUUUCACCAUCGACGAAGGGUUUCUGACGGUAGAUGGAGAAGAAGCACCGGCUAACUACGUGCCAGCAGCCGCGGUAAUACGUAGGGUGCGAGCGUUGUCCGGAAUUACUGGGCGUAAAGAGCUCGUAGGUGGUUUGUCGCGUCGUCUGUGAAAUUCCGGGGCUUAACUCCGGGCGUGCAGGCGAUACGGGCAUAACUUGAGUACUGUAGGGGAGACUGGAAUUCCUGGUGUAGCGGUGAAAUGCGCAGAUAUCAGGAGGAACACCGGUGGCGAAGGCGGGUCUCUGGGCAGUAACUGACGCUGAGGAGCGAAAGCAUGGGGAGCGAACAGGAUUAGAUACCCUGGUAGUCCAUGCCGUAAACGGUGGGCGCUAGGUGUGGGUUUCCUUCCACGGGAUCCGUGCCGUAGCUAACGCAUUAAGCGCCCCGCCUGGGGAGUACGGCCGCAAGGCUAAAACUCAAAGGAAUUGACGGGGGCCCGCACAAGCGGCGGAGCAUGUGGAUUAAUUCGAUGCAACGCGAAGAACCUUACCUGGGCUUGACAUAUACAGGAUCGCGCCAGAGAUGGUGUUUCCCUUGUGGCUUGUAUACAGGUGGUGCAUGGUUGUCGUCAGCUCGUGUCGUGAGAUGUUGGGUUAAGUCCCGCAACGAGCGCAACCCUUGUCUUAUGUUGCCAGCACGUUGUGGUGGGGACUCGUAAGAAACUGCCGGGGUUAACUCGGAGGAAGGUGGGGAUGACGUCAAAUCAUCAUGCCCCUUAUGUCCAGGGCUUCACACAUGCUACAAUGGUCGGUACAGUGGGUUGCCAGUCCGUGAGGGCGAGCUAAUCCCGCAAAGCCGGUCUCAGUUCGGAUCGGGAUCUGCAACUCGACCCCGUGAAGUCGGAGUCGCUAGUAAUCGCAGAUCAGCAACGCUGCGGUGAAUACGUUCCCGGGCCU